UACGGAGGGUGCAAGCGUUGUCCGGAUUUAUUGGGUUUAAAGGGUGCGUAGGUGGCCUUAUAAGUCAGCGGUGAAAGUCUGCAGCUUAACUGUAGAACUGCCAUUGAUACUGCAGGGCUUGAGUACUGAUGAGGUAGGCGGAAUGGACGGUGUAGCGGUGAAAUGCUUAGAGAUCGUCCAGAACACCGAUAGCGAAGGCAGCUUACUAAGGAGUAACUGACGCUGAGGCACGAAAGUGUGGGGAUCAAACAGG
rnacentral:rRNA from 1 species